GUCCAGUGGAUACACAAACAUUUAAUGGAUGACCAAAUGUAAGAGUACAUACGAACCAAUACAAAACUUUAUUACAUUCAGUGAACAGUACAAAAAACAAAACAAAAUCCUAUAUCACAAAAAAUCCACAGAAAUACCCAAAAGUAGUCCAUGUGUCUGUUGUAAUUAAUAAAUAAUACAAAAUGUCAAACAAGCGCCUAGGUUUAAAUGAUGAAACAUUUUCCAACCAACAAAAUAUCGUCUUAAUGCUGAUGAUGUCUUAACAUAACAAUACUAGAAAAUGGGAUAGAGUUAAAAAUACUGUAACAAAUGAGUAAUAAAAAUAGUAAUCCGUAAGAAAUGAAAUCUAAACUCAUCUAAAGAUAAUACGCUAGCUACAACACAUUGUCUAAGUCAAACAUACGUCUAUUCAACAUUAUGUGAGUCUACGCUCUGGAUGGCUCUCGGACUGGAAAGAACCUGAUAGCAAAGAAAGAAAAAGCGGGAGAAGGGGGGGGGGGGGGG